rnacentral:tRNA from 1 species
GCCGGGCUAGCUCAAUCGGUAGAGCGUGCGGCUCUUAUCCAUGGAUGUCACCUUCUUUGUGUGACCGCAAGGCUGCGGGUUCGAUCCCCGCGUUCGGCU